rnacentral:rRNA from 1 species
AGCGCAGGCGGGAAGACAAGUUGGAAGUGAAAUCUAUGGGCUCAACCCAUAAACUGCUUUCAAAACUGUUUUUCUUGAGUAGUGCAGAGGUAGGCGGAAUUCCCGGUGUAGCGGUGGAAUGCGUAGACAUCGGGAGGAACACCAGUGGCGAAGGCGGCCUACUGGGCACCAACUGACGCUGAGGCUCGAAAGUGUGGGUAGCAAACA